rnacentral:rRNA from 1 species
UACGUAGGGUGCGAGCGUUGUCCGGAAUUAUUGGGCGUAAAGGGCUCGUAGGCGGUCUGUUGCGUCAGGAGUGAAAACUCGGGGCUUAACCCCGAGCCUGCUUCUGAUACGGGCAGACUAGAGGUAUGCAGGGGAGAACGGAAUUCCAGGUGUAGCGGUGAAAUGCGUAGAUAUCUGGAGGAACACCGGUGGCGAAGGCGGCGUCCUGGACCAACACUGACACUGAUGAGCGAAAGCCAGGGGAGCAAACGGG